AGACUUGGUCUCCUACUCUCCUUUUCACUACUUCACUUCUUUUUUUCUUCUUCUUUCAUUCAAUUCAGUUUUCUUCUGCCUGGCUUUUUUAUUUUAUUUUUUAGACAACUGGCUUGGUGGCUUGAGUUGUUGUCUCAUGACUGGCUGGCCCUAGCUUUACUAGUUUAUUUAUUUCAGUAAAUACAUGAUUUGUCUUUAUUAUGUUUAAAAUUUCCAGAUUUAUUUGUAAGGGCAUACGUC
rnacentral:lncRNA from 1 species